AACGAACGCUGGCGGCGUGCUUAACACAUGCAAGUCGAACGCGAAAGGGACUUCGGUCCUGAGUAAAGUGGCGCACGGGCGAGUAACGCGUAGAUAACCUGUCUUCAUGUCUGGAAUAAUACGCCGAAAGGGGUACUAAUACCGGAUAUUCUUGCUUUUCAUAAGUUAUGCAAGCAAAGGUGGCCUCUGCAUAUGCUACUGCAUGAAGAGGGGUCUGCGUACCAUUAGCUAGUAGGUGGGGUAAUGGCCUACCUAGGCGACGAUGGUUAGCGGGUCUGAGAGGAUGAUCCGCCACACUGGCACUGGAACACGGGCCAGACUCCUACGGGAGGCAGCAGUGAGGAAUAUUGCGCAAUGGGGGAAACCCUGACGCAGCGACGCCGCGUGAGUGAGGGAAAGGCCUUCGGGUCGUAAAGCUCUGUCAAGAGGAAAGAAGUGUACAAUGGCUAAUACCUGUUGUAUUUGACGGUACCUCUAAAGGAAGCACCGGCUAACUCCGUGCCAGCAGCUGC
rnacentral:rRNA from 1 species